UCUUAUUCUGUUUUAGGUGACUUGGUCC
rnacentral:piRNA from 1 species